rnacentral:rRNA from 1 species
AUUGAACGCUGGCGGCAGGUCUAACACAUGCAAGUCGAGCGGAGCGGAGGACGGGUGAGUAAUGCCUAGGAAUCUGCCUGGUAGUGGGGGGUAACGUCAGGAAACGGGCGCUAAUACCGCAUACUAUCAGACGAGCCUAGGUCGGAUUAGCUAGUUGUUGGGGUAAAGACCUACCAAGGCGACGAUCCGUAACUGGUCUGUGAGGAUGAUCAGUCACACUGAAACUGAGACACGGUCCAGACUCCUACGGGAGGCAGCAGUGGGGAAUAUUGGACAAUGGGCGAAAGCCUGAUCCAGCCAAGCCACGUGUGUGAAAAAAGGCUUCGGAUUGUGAAGCGCUUUAAGUUGAGAGGCGUUACCAACAGAAUAAGCACCGGCUAACUUCGUGCCAGCAGCCGCGGUAAUAC